AAGAGGGGGCUUCGAGCGAUUGCAAGAAAGAGAGAGAGAGAGAGUGGGAGAGGGACCUCUGUGAAACCCUAAAAUCUCGAUCUCCCUGCCGCCGCCAUUCAUCUCCUUACCGCCGUCGUCUCCUCCGUCAAAGCGUUGCCGGUGCAGAGUUAUGAAUGGAGGACGAGAUGAUCGUGGAGCCUAUGAAUUUGUUGACCUCUCAGAGUGACAAUUUCAUUCAGAUUGUUGAGGUAAUGCUUUAAAUCUUCUGCUUCUGCGUCGUCUUCCACUGCGGAUUGUGCCACUGGUUCUGCUUUUCCUCUGGUGGCUUAAAGCACUCAAAGUGCGGUUUGGGCGUGGAUUCGGUGUUGUGGUUUGGGCGCAGAUUUGGUGGUGCUAGCUGAGGAGAUCAAGAAGGCGAGCUAGCUAGUCUCUAUAAGCUUCGAGUCAAGGCAAAGAAUUUGAUAUAGAUUUUGUUAAGUUGAUUUGAUAUAUUAUAAAGGUGCAAGAUCCUUGAGGUACUGAAAAAUUGGCCUGAGAGGAGUAUUCAAGUUAUUGUUGUCACAGAUGGCGAGCGAAUUUUAGGACUCAGAGACCUUGGAUGUCAGGGAAUGGGAAUUCCUGUUGGAAAAUUGGCUUUGUACACAGCACUAGGAGGGCUUCGUCCAUCAGCAGAAUAUUCUGAACUUCUGAGUGAGUUCAUGGCUGCUGUAAAGCAGAACUAUGGGGAAAAAGUUCUUGUGCAGUUUGAAGAUUUUGCAAAUCACAAUGCUUUCGAGUUGCUUGCGAAAUACGGCACAUCUCACCUAGUCUUCAAUGAUGAUAUUCAAGUACUAUAAUUAAAGCAUUGAACUUUGGCCGACCACACUUUCCUAUUCCUUGGUGCUGGCGAGACAAAGAAACCAAUAGAAAAAACUCGCAAGAAGAUAUGACUUGUAGACUCAAAGGUAUUUUCUAUCAAUUUUUUUAGUGAGUGGGGUGAUGAGCCAGGUGAGUGUAGUUAUAGAACAUUUUUCUUGGAGCGUAGAAACAGGGACAUUAUGAAAAGGCAGAACCGUGAAGUUUUAUUCAGCGGAAUUAUCACUGCCAUUGGUAUUAGCUUACAUAAUUUUCCUGAAGGAAUGGCAGUGUUCCUUGGGUCCGUGAAGGGCCUUCAGGUUGGUUUUAACCUUGCAUUAGCCAUUACUUUGCACAAUAUCCUAAAGCCUUGUUUGCAAUGGAAACUCCUGUGAGCUUGGAUGCCGAGGACAUCAGAAAUGAAAAGGUGAAGGUUCUUAAAUCAAUGAGACCAAUUCAAUUAGAAGAUGUUGUUGUUGGUCAAUAUAAGGGCCGUGCUUUUCAUUGACAAUGCAAGAUGGGAUGGAGUUCCUUUUCUCAUGAAAGCUAGCAAGGCUCUCCAUACUAAACGGAAAAAGAUUCUAUGCUCAUCGAGUUUGUUUAGUCAAGUCAGAUAUAUUUCGAGCAAGGUUUGAUGGUGGUUACAGGGUAGGCCUUGAUUAUUCUUGAAAAUUUUUUAUAAGUUAUUUUUUUUCUUUUUAAUUAUGUAUGAAGUGCAGAUUAACUGUGAUUAAGCUCCUUUUUUUUCCUUGUAAAUAUUCAAAUAUAAACUUAAUAUGAAGUGCAAAUUUAUGGAAGAUUAUCAUAUAGUUAUGAUUCUAGGAUAAUGUUACCUUAGCUAGUGUAAUAUUAUCUUGCUUUUGGUUGAGCUGAUUUUAGUUUAAUUUAUACUAAGAAUUUCGUGCUGGGAUAUCUUUGUUUUGUACUUGGAAUUUUGUAAAUCCACUACCAAGAAUCAUACUCUAUCAAUGUAUUAAUAUUUCAAUUAUUUACUUAUAUUUGUAUAGUUAUGGUUAGUUAAUAUGAUUAGUAAUGUGGCUUGCUAUGAACCUCUUUUUUGGCAGUGCUCAAAAUUAGGAAUAGCAGUCUGGUAGUGGUUUGCCGUUGUUCAGUUUGUGGCCCUUUUUUUUUAAUUUGAAAAUGAACUUUGUGGGGGGUUUUAAACCGCCACAAAAAUGAAAAAAAAC